UACGGAGGGGGCUAGCGUUGUUCGGAAUUACUGGGCGUAAAGCGCAUGUAGGCGGCUUUGUAAGUUAGAGGUGAAAGCCCGGGGCUCAACUCCGGAAUUGCCUUUAAGACUGCAUCGCUAGAAUUGUGGAGAGGUGAGUGGAAUUUCCGGUGUAGCGGUGAAAUGCGUAGAUAUCGGAAGGAACACCUGUGGCGAAAGCGGCUCACUGGACCAUUAC
rnacentral:rRNA from 1 species